rnacentral:rRNA from 1 species
UGAGGAAUAUUGGUCAAUGGACGCAAGUCUGAACCAGCCAAGUAGCGUGCAGGAUGACGGCCCUAUGGGUUGUAAACUGCUUUUAUGCGGGGAUAAAGGAGUCCACGUGUGGAUUUUUGCAGGUACCGCAUGAAUAAGGACCGGCUAAUUCCGUGCCAGCAGCCGCGGUAAUACGGAAGGUCCGGGCGUUAUCCGGAUUUAUUGGGUUUAAAGGGAGCGUAGGCCGCGUUUUAAGCGUGUUGUGAAAUGUAGACGCCCAACGUCUGCAUCGCAGCGCGAACUGGGACGCUUGAGUACGCGCAACGUUGGCGGAAUUCGUCGUGUAGCGGUGAAAUGCUUAGAUAUGACGAGGAACUCCGAUUGCGAAGGCAGCUGACGGGAGCGGCACUGACGCUUAAGCUCGAAGGUGCGGGUAUCAAACAGG